AAAACAACGACGACCAACCAGUCCGUCUUUCAAACAAAAAUGUACACACGUGCAGAAAAUGAACAAGAAAAAGCCUCAAAAACGCUAUUGGGAGGAAACAGAAAACACAGACCAAAGGAGACCAGAGGAAGAACAAGAUACAGCUGGUCAGAACCAGAAUAAAUCAACAGUAAAAGAAAGGUCAUUAAAAAGGAUGAAUGGUGAAAGUUUGGAGGUAAGAAUAUUUUUCCAUUAAUUACAUUUACAUUUAGUCAUUUAGCAGAUGCUUUUAUCCAAAGCGAAUUACAAAUGAGGACAAUAGAAGCAAUCAAAACUAACAAAAGGGCAACAAUAUGUAAGUGCAAAUGACAAGUCUCGGUUAGCCUAACGCAGUAGAUUCAAGAAUCUUGUAGUGUAUAAUAUAUUUGACCCUGGACCACAAAACCAGUCCUAAGUGUCAAUUUUUCACAAUUGAGAUUUAUACAUCAUCUUAAAGCUGAAUAAAUAAGCUUUUCAUAAUGUAUGGUUUAUUAGGAUCGGAAAAUAUUUGGCCGAGAUACAACUAUUUGAAAAUCUGGAAUCUGAGGGUGCAAAAAAAUCAAAAUACUGAGAAAUUCGCCAUUGAAGUUGUCCAAAUGAAUUCUUAGCAAUGCAUAUUAUUAAUCAAAAAUUAAGUUUUGAUAUAUUUAUGGUAGGAAAUUUACAAAAUAUCUUCAUGGAACAUGAUCUUUACUUAAUAUCUCUCUGAAGUAAUAAAUUUAGGUAGAGCCAGUGGUGGUUUUGUAGGCAAACAUUAAUGCCUUGAAUUUUAUGCGAGCAGCUACUGGUGGCCAGUGCAAAUCGAUAAACAGAGGUGUGACAUGCGUUCUUUUCGGCUCAUUAAAGAUGUUAAAGUUGUAUAAGGCAAAGUUGUAUAAGGCAAAUCUGCAGGACCAGGCAGUUUUAGCAAUGUAGUCUGAGAAAUUCAGGUUAUCAUCAAUCAUAACUCCAAGGUUUCUGGCUGUUUUUGAAGGAGUUAUGGUUGAUGUGCCUAACUGGAUGGUGAAAUUUUGGUAAAGUAAUGGGUUUGUUGAAACCACAAGCAGUUCUGUCUUAGCCAGGUUGAGUUGAAGGUGAUGGUCCUUCAUCCAGCAAGAAAUGUCUGUUAGACAAGCUGAGAUGCGGGCAGCUACCGAUGGAUCAUCAGAAUGGAAUGAGAGGUAGAGCGGAGUGUCAUCAGCAUAGCAGUGAUAUAAAAAGCCAUGUUUCUGAAUGACAGAACUUAGCGAUGCUAUGUAGACAGAGAAGAGAAGUGGUCCAAGAACUGAGCCCUGAGGCACCCCAGUAGCUAGAUGUUGCGACUUAGACACCUCACCUCUCCAAGAUACCUUGAAGGAACUAUCUGAGAGGUAAGACUCAAACCACUGGCGUGCAGUUCCUGAGAUGCCAUUUUCCAAUAGGGUUGACAGGAGAAUCUGGUGGUUCAAUGUAUCAAAAGCAGC
rnacentral:lncRNA from 12 species